CCCUACGGGGUGCAGAUCGACAUGCUGCUGGGUAUGCCGACAUUUCGCGAUAUGAAAUCGUGUACGGUCGAUUUCGCGAAGGGCAAGAUGUGGAUUGAGUGGCUGAAAUGAAAUGGGCGCAACUCGCCCAGUGUGCCAUUGUAACAUCUUGUUGCAUAGUCACUUAGGAACAACUUCCGUGCGCCAUGCGGGGGCUCAGAGCCCGGGCCAUUGGCAGUUGCGCGGAAUGGUCGGCCCCAUGGCCCGUUAGAGCCUCUGUCGGCCCGUUUGGGGGCGGAGGCGACGGCAUAGAGCGCCCCGGCGGCCCCAUCGAAAUGCACGUUCAGGCUCUAACGCGCUGAAGGCGCGGACUCUGACCACUCGGCUGGCGCCGAAGACCGCAACCGUACGAGAAAAAACGCAGAUUCUCGGAAUUGGCGGGGGAGC
rnacentral:rRNA from 1 species